GAUGAACGCUGGCGGCGUGCCUAAUACAUGCAAGUCGAGCGAACGGACGAGAAGCUUGCUUCUCUGAUGUUAGCGGCGGACGGGUGAGUAACACGUGGAUAACCUACCUAUAAGACUGGGAUAACUUCGGGAAACCGGAGCUACUACCGGAUAAUAUUUUGAACCGCAUGGUUCAAAAGUGAAAGACGGUCUUGCUGUCACUUAUAGAUGGAUCCGCGCUGCAUUAGCUAGUUGGUAAGGUAACGGCUUACCAAGGCAACGAUGCAUAGCCGACCUGAGAGGGUGAUCAGCCACACUGGAACUGAGACACGGUCCAGACUCCUACGGGAGGCAGCAGUAGGGAAUCUUCCGCAAUGGGCGAAAGCCUGACGGAGCAACGCCGCGUGAGUGAUGAAGGUCUUCGGAUCGUAAAACUCUGUUAUUAGGGAAGAACAUAUGUGUAAGUAACUGUGCACAUCUUGACGGUACCUAAUCAGAAAGCCACGGCUAACUACGUG
rnacentral:rRNA from 1 species